rnacentral:rRNA from 1 species
UCUAGGCCCCGUCAGGAGCCCGAGUUGUAAUUUGGAGAGGACACUUCGGGGGGUAUUGCCCCAGUAACGGCGAGUGAAGCGGCAACAGCUCAAAUUUGAAAUCUGGUCCCCAGGGCCCGAGUUGUAAUUUGCAGAGGAUGCUUUUGGUGAGGUGCCUUCCGAGUUCCCUGGAACGGGACGCCAUAGAGGGUGAGAGCCCCGUCUGGUUGGAUACCGAGCCUCUGUAAAGCUCCUUCGACGAGUCGAGUAGUUUGGGAAUGCUGCUCUAAAUGGGAGGUAUAUGUCUUCUAAAGCUAAAUAUUGGCCAGAGACCGAUAGCGCACAAGUAGAGUGAUCGAAAGAUGAAAAGCACUUUGAAAAGAGGGUUAAAUAGUACGUGAAAUUGUUGAAAGGGAAGCACUUAUGACCAGACUUGGCCCCGGUGAAUCAUCCAGCGGUUCCCGCUGGUGCACUUUGCCGGGGUUCAGGCCAGCAUCAGUUCGCUCCGGGGGAUAAAGGCUUUGGGAAUGUGGCUCCCUCGGGAGUGUUAUAGCCCAUUGCGUAAUACCUUGUGGCGGGCUGAGGUUCGCGCUUUAUGCAAGGAUGCUGGCAUAAUGGUCAUCAGUGACCCGUCUUGAAACAC